rnacentral:rRNA from 1 species
AGAGUUUGAUCAUGGCUCAGGACGAACGCUGGCGGCGUGCUUAACACAUGCAAGUCGAGCGGAAAGGCCCUUCGGGGUACUCGAGCGGCGAACGGGUGAGUAACACGUGAGUAACCUGUCCUUGGCUUUGGGAUAACCCUCGGAAACGGGGGCUAAUACCGGAUAGGACCUGGCCCUGCAUGGGGUUGGGUGGAAAGUUUUUCGGCCAGGGGUGGGCUCGCGGCCUAUCAGCUUGUUGGUGGGGUGAUGGCCUACCAAGGCGACGACGGGUAGCCGGCCUGAGAGGGCGACCGGCCACACUGGGACUGAGACACGGCCCAGACUCCUACGGGAGGCAGCAGUGGGGAAUAUUGCACAAUGGGCGGAAGCCUGAUGCAGCGACGCCGCGUGAGGGAUGACGGCCUUCGGGUUGUAAACCUCUUUCAGCAGGGACGAAGCGUGAGUGACGGUACCUGCAGAAGAAGCGCCGGCCAACUACGUGCCAGCAGCCGCGGUAAGACGUAGGGCGCGAGCGUUGUCCGGAUUUAUUGGGCGUAAAGAGCUCGUAGGCGGCUUGUUGCGUCGACCGUGAAAACCCGGGGCUCAACUUCGGGCUUGCGGUCGAUACGGGCGGGCUAGAGUUCGGUAGGGGAGACUGGAAUUCCUGGUGUAGCGGUGAAAUGCGCAGAUAUCAGGAGGAACACCGGUGGCGAAGGCGGGUCUCUGGGCCGAUACUGACGCUGAGGAGCGAAAGCGUGGGGAGCGAACAGGAUUAGAUACCCCAGUAGUCC